rnacentral:rRNA from 1 species
UGGGGAAUUUUGGACAAUGGGGGCAACCCUGAUCCAGCGACGCCGCGUGAAGGAUGAAGGUCUUCGGAUUGUAAACUUCUUUUGAAGGGGAUGAAUGACUGGGUGAAGAGCCCAGAGUGACAGUACCCUUUGAAUAAGCCACGGCUAACUACGUGCCAGCAGCCGCGGUAAUACGUAGGUGGCAAGCGAUACUCGGAAUCACUAGGCGUAAAGCGCAGGUAGGCGGUUCGAUAAGUCUGUUGUGAAAGCUCCCGGCUUAACUGGGAGAGGUCAACGGAAACUGUCGGGCUAGAGUGUGGUAGAGGUAGCUGGAAUUCCCGGUGUAGCGGUGAAAUGCGUAGAUAUCGGGAGGAAUACCUAUGGCGAAAGCAGGCUACUGGACCAUCACUGACGCUGAUCUGCGAAAGCUAGGGGAGCAAACAGGAUUAGAUACCCCCGUAGUCC